AACGAACGCUGGCGGCAUGCCUAACACAUGCAAGUCGAACGGGACCUUCGGGUCUAGUGGCGCACGGGUGCGUAACGCGUGGGAACCUGCCCUUAGGUUCGGAAUAACUCCCCGAAAGGGGUGCUAAUACCGGAUAAUGUCUUCGGACCAAAGAUUUAUCGUCUUUGGAUGGGCCCGCGUUGGAUUAGCUAGUUGGUAGGGUAAAAGCCUACCAAGGCGACGAUCCAUAGCUGGUCUGAGAGGAUGAUCAGCCACACUGGAACUGAGACACGGCCCAGACUCCUACGGGAGGCAGCAGUGGGGAAUAUUGGACAAUGGGCGAAAGCCUGAUCCAGCAAUGCCGCGUGAGUGAUGAAGGCCUUAGGGUUGUAAAGCUCUUUUACCCGGGAUGAUAAUGACAGUACCGGGAGAAUAAGCUCCGGCUAACUCCGUG
rnacentral:rRNA from 1 species